rnacentral:rRNA from 1 species
GUGCAUUACGGAGCUAUACAUGCAGUCGUACGCUUCUUUUUCCACCGGAGCUUGCUCCACCGGAAAAAGAAGAGUGGCGAACGGGUGAGUAACACGUGGGUAACCUGCCCAUCAGAAGGGGAUAACACUUGGAAACAGGUGCUAAUACCGUAUAACAAUCGAAACCGCAUGGUUUUGAUUUGAAAGGCGCUUUCGGGUGUCGCUGAUGGAUGGACCCGCGGUGCAUUAGCUAGUUGGUGAGGUAACGGCUCACCAAGGCCACGAUGCAUAGCCGACCUGAGAGGGUGAUCGGCCACAUUGGGACUGAGACACGGCCCAAACUCCUACGGGAGGCAGCAGUAGGGAAUCUUCGGCAAUGGACGAAAGUCUGACCGAGCAACGCCGCGUGAGUGAAGAAGGUUUUCGGAUCGUAAAACUCUGUUGUUAGAGAAGAACAAGGAUGAGAGUAACUGUUCAUCCCUUGACGGUAUCUAACCAGAAAGCCACGGCUAACUACGUGCCAGCAGCCGCGGUAAUACGUAGGUGGCAAGCGUUGUCCGGAUUUAUUGGGCGUAAAGCGAGCGCAGGCGGUUUCUUAAGUCUGAUGUGAAAGCCCCCGGCUCAACCGGGGAGGGUCAUUGGAAACUGGGAGACUUGAGUGCAGAAGAGGAGAGUGGAAUUCCAUGUGUAGCGGUGAAAUGCGUAGAUAUAUGGAGGAACACCAGUGGCGAAGGCGGCUCUCUGGUCUGUAACUGACGCUGAGGCUCGAAAGCGUGGGGAGCAAACAGGAUUAGAUACCCUGGUAGUCCACGCCGUAAACGAUGAGUGCUAAGUGUUGGAGGGUUUCCGCCCUUCAGUGCUGCAGCUAACGCAUUAAGCACUCCGCCUGGGGAGUACGACCGCAAGGUUGAAACUCAAAGGAAUUGACGGGGGUCCCGCACAGCGGUGGAGCAUGUGGUUAAUUCGAGCAACGUCGAAGAACCCUUACCAGGUCUUGACAUCUUUGACCACUCUAGAGAAUAGAGCUUCCCUUCGGGGCAAAGUGACAGGUGAUGCAUGGAUGUCGUCAGCUCGUGUCCGUGGAAUGUGGAUAGUCCCGCAACGAAGCCAACCUUAUGGUAAGUUGCAUCAUUCAAGUGGAGCCUGACGACUGCAGUGUACAACUGGAGUAUGGUGGGCAUAUGGAU